UGCAAAGAGUCUCCCUGCUUGAGGGACAAGCAAAGCAAAGACGUAACCCCUCAAAAGAGACAGGAAAAUGAUGCCUUCAGAGCCAGAGAGGAUGGCAAGAGAGGAAGAGAAUUCCUUAGAAGAUAAAACAUACGGACAGAAGAUCUCUUAACCCAAGAGCGAACCCCCCACUCCCAGGACAGGAAGACUGGUUGUGGUUGGCCACACCCCAGAACUGGAUCUAACACCUCAGGCCCUGUCACUUGCUGGUUCCUUCCUGGUUGACUGACAGUAAGCAGAGGGGCAACUCUCUCUUCUGUCCUUAGACCCAAGCAGGAGAAAUUCUGCUCUUCCUCCCACCACCACACUAGGAUUGGCUUUUAAGCUCCUGGACGGAGUGUGGCUUCAGAGUCAAACUGUUUUGCAGUGCUGGGGAUUAGAACCUGGGUAUCAAUUUGCUAAGCAAGUGCUCUACCACUAUGCUACAUCUCCAGGCCUGAAGGAGAACUGGAAAUAAGUGACAUAAUGAGGAGGGGGAGAAGAAAAGAAUGUUCUAGGCAGAGUGGACCACCAUGAGCAAAGGUGCAUUGGCAAAAAAUGGCAGGAUACACCUGGGGAUAUCAAGCAA